CACCUAUUAAUUCACACCUAAUGGAGAGUCAGUCUGGCUUUCAACAGCACCUGCUUCAUAUCAGUUGUGAAAACAGGCCUCUUCCCUUCACCUAGCAAGGAAAACACUUUUUUUAUGAACGACAAUACUUUACCCCGCAUCCACAAAGUCUGUCACAAAAUUUGAUCCUAGGUGGAGCCUGUGUCUGGUUUAAGAAAUGUUACAGGUAUGUAGAAGCUACAUUCUUGUCAUUUAUUCCCCAAGAAUUUUAUUAUAGGGUUAGCAAUGUGGCUGUUUGCAUUAUCACUUUGUAUUAAAGAAAAGGAAUUCUCAUUGGUGCCCCAUCUGCAAAACUGCCACUGCAAAGAGCUGUUUGCUGUAUUCAGACUGCUUGUGAUGAAUUCCCAACUCAAUCAUGUACCUGUCAUCUCGUGGAAGUGCCUGAGAGUGAUAAGAAUGCACAUGGCCAGCUCUCCAGCACAGCCAGACCCCGCUCCUUUUAUUCUCAGCAGGGAGAAAUUGUUGGAAAGCACGCCAGAAGAAUCAACGUGCUGUGUACUUGGCACAUUCAUAGAGAUUUAUAAUUGCUUCAUAAUAAAGAAAUGCAAUAGAAGAAAGUUUUAAAAUUCUUAUCAUCACAAUGCUUAAAAAGGUUAUAAAGCUACCCUGUCAUUACUGUGCCAUUUUCAUAUUCUUCAAAAGCAUAAGUAAAUCUCUCCCAGUAUAUAUAAUAGUAUCAGAUUAGGCCUGUGCAAAAUACCACGCUCUCUGGGAAUAACUCAGAGUUAUGGGUAUAUUUCCUGUAGAUCUCCUACAGGUCUUGCUCAGUAAGACAUAACUUGCAGAAUUUAUUUUCAUCUACUGCAAAGAAUCGUGGACUACGCUAGUUUUCAUUAUCGGUGCGGAUACGUCCCCCGCUGUAUUAUGCAGGGUGCAUUUCAUAGUGAUGACGUGUGGGGGGGGGGGCUUUUUCUUAUCAAAACAGUGUUCAAAAGGCAGAGCAAGGUCUGGGGCUCAGAAGUGGGGCUGUUUUCUUGCCACCCAGAAGCGAUGAGCUUAUCUUGUGGAGAGCACAAGCUGCACUUUGUUAAAAAUAGAAACAUUGCAGAGGGAAAAUUUUGCCAGGAGAAAGAUAAUACCCUUUGAGUUAAAGGUGAGAAAAUAACAAACAGGAGUCAAAUGUCAAAACUGAAAAACAAAAGCAGUACCUGAACCUUGGUAGGGGCUCAGGCUUUUGAAAAGAUAUUAAAUCUUCAUACUGUCUUAAUGAUGUCCUCCUGUGUAAAGAACUGUUGUCCCAAUAAUGCAGGUCCAGAUCGUUCAUCCCAGAAAUGAGAAGACCUUACCACAGAGAGAAAUGAAGUACUUUCUGGUUGUCUUUAAUUUUCAUAAUGUCAUGAGUUCAGGCCACUUUGCUCACAGGAGGUAAACAAUGGUAAUACUAAUCCAUGAUCUCCCUAAGAGGCAGUGGAUAAUUGGACUGAUUUGUAAGGGUGGCACAGGACUAGUGACCUGGGUAUUUUUUAAGUUUUUGUGCUUUUGAGGAGAUGUCUUACUAUCUCUAAGCCAUCACUUGUAAAAAUAAAUAACUUUCAGGAGAGAUGCUGAAACCUUGCCAUUGAAGUAGGAGUAUUUAGGAUUUUUAUUUUUCCUCUACAGAAAAUCAAGUAAUUAACUUAAUUGUGCCCUAAAGACAGAAUGUAACAUUUUCUUCUUUAAAGAUGUAUUCACUAAAGGGUAUGACAUUGCAACAGGGUAUGUGUGCUGCUGUCAGCUUUGCCAAUUAAUAUUGCACCCUUGUAGUGGGAGGAGAACUGACACAGUAACAGGGGGAAAUGCGUGUACAUCUCUGGAGACUAAAUAUAAAAGAUGAGGAUUGUUCUGUACGGUUCCCUAAACAGUCAGUGUGGGAACUCAUGUUCUCAUGGAGGCCAGAAGAAACACAGCUCUUCUGGUUGCUAACUGCACCCAAAAAGACCAACUGCAGCGGUCACCAGAAUGGACGGAUGCCACAGAUUUCAGGUUUUCCAAUACACUGCUAUAAAGCAAAGCAGGAUUAGCUUUAUCUUUCUGACAAGGAAUGUUUCUCUUUCCCAAAGCUUGUGAGAGGAGUUUGAUCAGAAUUACAGGACUUGAAAAAGGAGCUUGAUAUACGUGUAGAAGCUGUAAGCUACAAUUUAUGACUAUUGAUAACCACUGCAGAAGCACUGUGUAAUGGUAUUUUGGUAAUGCCUACUUUAAAAUCUGACUCUCAGCAUCUUUGUGGAGCUUGAUUCAUCAGUAGCUGCAAAACACUGUGAUUUCCUGUGACAGGAAGCAUUAUAGUAGCCCGUAUUAUAUUAGGAUCUUUCCACACCAUGGAUGCUUUUUGAAUGGCUGUCUGCAGCACAGUCAGUGUGCAUCGUGCUUCAAGGAGCAAAUACUUUCACAGGUAAGUACUUAUCAAUAUACAAUGUCUGUGUUUUCAAAUAUAUGAUGACAUUACUUGCUAUGACCAUAACAUUUUCGCACAAGUACUCCCAGACUGUAGCCUGCUGCCAUCUGCGUAGGUUGAAGAGAAAUGUUUUCCUCCAGAGGAUGUUUUAGAGCUUCAGAAAGCCUUUCUCUCUGCACUGACCACACAGGAAAACUAGGGAGACUAAUGUCAUUGAACGUACAUUAGCCUGUGGGAAUGCUGCCAUAAUGGAGCAUUUGAGUCUAACUCUCUGAAUCCUUUCAAAAGGCCACGCUCUCGGCAGUGGCAAGUGCUUUUCUGUAACAUCCACGCUGAAAGACUCUCCAAAACCAACAUACGAAGCCAACCCUUGAAAUCUUGUUGUGUGCUGUAGUAGCCAGAAAGGAGCCUCGCUGAUCAGUGAAGAUUGGAUGCCAGCUGACCUUUACAGGCUGCCAGAAAUGCUGAUUUUGGAUGUAAGGCUUCAAAGCCGCUCGUCGUUGAGAAAGAGUUGUCAUCAGUGACUGCUCCAUGGAAUAGCACUGGCAUAUUAGUGACAUUACUCUGCUGACACAACUCAAGUUCAGGCUUUGCUUUCUGCCAACUCUACUUCCUUCUAUAAAUAAUAGCAGAAUCUGGAAGUUUUGUGGGUUUGGUUGGUUUUUUUUUUUUCCAUCUUGUUUUUAUUUAGUUUCUACAUGAAUUCAUGAAUGUAAGCCAGACUUAACUGCACUGCCCCUGUGCAACCUCUUUUUCCUUUAUCUCCUCUCCUCUGUAUCUCGUGGGCAUUGCUCAUGACCAGGCUGAGGUUGUGAUGUGCACCUGGCAAGAGCUCCAGGAAGGAUCCAAGAGGUCCAAGGAGGAUCCAAGAGGUCCAAGGAGAUCUUUUUACCCCCGAGGAGUCCCUGCAAAGGUGACUAGUUUGGAAAUAACCAGAUUAUGGACACUUUGCAUUUGUGACAUUCUGAGAUACCUUUGCAGAAAGCUGUACAGGAGAAGUCCGUGUUUUCUGCCAGCCCCUGGAAGUGUGUACCCCUGCUGCGUGUCUUCCUAAUCCAGGUGCAAAACUGGAGAUCCAGAACAGCUGCUUCCUGGUGUUGGUCAGAUGGCUGGAAGUUUUUGCUCUAGACAAUAUUUGGAUUUUCUGUACAUUUUGUAAAGAAAUAAAAUUAUUUUUAAAAUG